CAGCUGCAGGCUCUGUUCACCCAUCUGCAAGAGCUUAAUGCCCUGAUGGGGCUAUUAACACCUAUCUGAUCAGCAUUCAUCUCUAUAGCAAUUUGCUGCUGAGUUUAACAAACUUUGCCUGAGGUGUUGCUACACUGAGUGGUGGGUAAGCCAGGUGGGAAGUAGCCCUAAAUGGGGAGAGAUGAUGGAAGAGGGGACAGCUGUGUGGCUGGAGCCUGUGAUAGAAGGAAAGCACAGGCUCCCCUACCUCUUACUCCUCAGCUGUUGCACCUGGAGGUGGUGAGCUGAUACCUUGCAACCAAGGGGUCAUAUUGUCUAUGGACAGCAAGAGAGUCAAAACCCUGAUACAGGGAGAGAUGGCUGAGGUCACACAGACCCUAGAGAAAGGGGUGUGGUCCAAGCUGGGAAAUGGACCUACUGGGGCAGGCCCACAGUGUUGAGAGGCAAAUAUUGAUGUUGUGCUUUUGUUUGGAUGUUCAUUUACCCUGGGGAGUGGGAACUUCUGCUUUGCCCAAAGAGCAAAACUACCCAAGACCAGGGGGAAACAGAGGCACGCAUCUCCUAACAGUGAGACAGAGCGUACUGACCAGGGAGAAACUGAGGCAUGGCUGUACCUGCCAUUGGAGAGCGAUAGAACUCUUUCAGCUAGUUGAAAUGCUACAUAAUUGUCUUCCACAAAUUCAGAUUCACCGUGGUAAAACUGCACGGCAGAAGAGCGUUCCACGGAGAUAAGAUGAUGUGACAAACUGUGAUAAAUUGGGAUUUUACCAUGCCACAGCUGCAUUCAGCAUUGAAAAGCCAAAGGCCACGUACUUCAAUCAUCUUGGGGGUUGAAACUCCAUUUUUACUUUGUUUCUGAAUGCUUAACUUGGCUCAGUAUCUCAACGGGUUUCUGGGGUGUGAGGUCUCUGUGUCAGGAAGUGAUGCUACUGUGUGUAUCCUAAGCACAAACAGAGGAGUUAAAGAUGAAACUUUAAUUAUGAGUGGAUCUUCAAAAAAGUGUAGUGCUUACAUUUAAUUUGUUUUUGUUUUCAGUUUGUGCCACAAUAUGUUUUUACUUCAUUGUUCACCUGUGAAUGUGUGUUGUGUUUAGUUAACCAAAUAUUGUCGCGGAAGUGCCUGAAAGUUAAGACAUAGAUCAUAAUGACAUGUUUACAGUCACUGUACCCUAACAUAUACUCUCUGUAUAGCACAUCCCUGGUUCCUUUUUCUUCCUAAAACAAUGAAGUUUACUCAUAUUAAU